rnacentral:rRNA from 1 species
UGGGGAAUAUUGGACAAUGGGCGAAAGCCUGAUCCAGCAAUGCCGCGUGAGUGAUGAAGGCCUUAGGGUUGUAAAGCUCUUUUACCCGGGAUGAUAAUGACAGUACCGGGAGAAUAAGCUCCGGCUAACUUCGUGCC